UACGUAGGGUCCGAGCGUUGUCCGGAAUUACUGGGCGUAAAGGGCUUGUAGGUGGCCAACUAAGUCAGACGUGAAAUCCCUCGGCUUAACCGGGGAACUGCGUCUGAUACUGGAUGGCUUGAGUGUGGGAGAGGGAUGCGGAAUUCCAGGUGUAGCGGUGAAAUGCGUAGAUAUCUGGAGGAACACCGGUGGCGAAGGCGGCAUCCUGGACCAUUACUGACACUGAAAAGCGAAAGCCAGGGGAGCAAACGGG
rnacentral:rRNA from 1 species